CCAAAGCAACAUUCCCCUCCAUGAACAACUCAGGGACCCCCUCGAUCCACGGCGUGAGGCCCACCAGCAGAGGAAGAGGAGCUUCCAGUCCUGACUCCCACUAGGCGCAGGGGAGCCGAGAUGCCAAGAGGGAAAUCAAAACAGCUUUUCCUGCCUGGGAAACAGUAACAACCACUUCAGAGUGAUCACCGCCCGGCCACGCACAGCCUGGAGGAGCCCAUGUCCUAUUAGGGUAUCGGCUUUGCCUCCGAUUAUCUGGCAAAUAAACCAAUUUAGGAGUCCGCCAGGGUCUUUCUGGCCACCUCUCCAGGGCCCUGGCUGGGCCAGUCCUGUCUUCAUUUCCAUACAGCCAGCAUCCUCAGUGAGAUGGAGAAAUGUCAUUAUUUACCAAGAAACCAAGAUCUGAAAAUGGCAAUUACUCGGCAGGUCAGCAGAAAGCCCCAGGAUACUUCUCUCCCCGGGAUUCAGCCAGCAGCUCGGAGCUGGAAGACCGAGCCAGUGCCCACCCCACAGGCUCCCACCCCCUGUGAACUCACAUCCCAUUGGUUUACAAAAACGACUAUGUAUCCCCCCGACAAAUACGUAUUCAUGCCUCCAAAUGUUAAGUCUAUUGCACACUUUAUAAAACACAAACUGAAAAGUCACAGUAAAAUGCAGAUAUAAACAU
ensembl:lncRNA novel transcript